ACCAAUUCUAAUACUUCUUCAUUUGUAAAAACGAAAAUCGACAAACCAAAUCUCACAACCACCAUCUUCAUCGUCGCCAUCGCCUCCACUCCAGCACCACCUCUAAUUUCUUCACCACCUCCACCAAUCCCUCGACCAUUUCCAUACCUCCUCUUAUACUUCCAUCAAAUCCACCACAAGCAGCAGCACCACCACCUCCUAAACGAUCACUUAUAUCGAUUUUUACCUGAUUCAACCUCAAAACUCAAAUCUAGUGAUGAACCAACGAGUAAUUAAUCUCCGAAACCUAAUCCCGGGCUUCAGAAACCUCAGAUUUACUUCGAUUUUGCAACUGGAUUGUACAUGAUUGCAUUUUCAAACCCUAAUUUUGGAUUCAUUUUUCUUCAGGUCGAUAUUUCAUUCAUGUAAUUGAUUAUCUUAUGCUUCAAUUCGUUAUUUUUCACUUCCGUUGAAUCCUUAAGUUGGUAAUAAACUGUUUUGUUUACUUAUCUUCAUUAUGGUGAUGUGUGGUGGUGGGACAGUAGCAUGUGUGGCGGUGGUGGGUGGAUGGUGCUGUGUUUGUGGUAGUGGUAAAUGGGUGAGUUGUUUCCAUGUUUGAUUUUAAUUGGUGAUGGAGAGGUGGAAUGCAGUGGUAGUGGUAACUGGCAGAGUGGGAAUACAAAGAGGAGGAUAUAAAGUUUGGUUGCAGUGGGAAAACAACUGUGAUGAUUAAAUUAUGCAGCUAAAGAGGGUAACUCAGAGAAGAGAUAGGUCGCCAAUAUAUAGAAUAUCCUUGUAUCUAAUUGUUUAAGGUUUCUAGUUUGGAGUUUUAUCAUUGGUUUCAAGGUUUCUACUUUGGAGUUUUAUCACUUGUUUCGUACGAAUUGAUGGUGUUUAUAGGUUGAGUUGUUAAUUAAGUAGUGGCUAAAUCGGCCUAGUCGUCAUUUUGGUUGUGAAUUUGUGCAAUGGUAUGGCAUCUUACUUUUGUUAUCUACUGCAAAUUUUGAAUUAGGAAGCUGAUUAUGGUUUAUGAACGGUCAACGGUGGUUGUGGAGAUUUCACCCUGCUGCGCAAAAUGAAGGGUAUACAUUCUGGUUGUUGACACCACCGCCGGCGGGCGUUGAUGGACUGGUGGUGGGUGGCGGCAUUAGUGAUAAUGGUGGCUGGAGAUGGUGGACCAGUGGUGGACAACGCCAUUAGUGAUAAUGGUGGCGGGUGGUGGUGGCGGGCGGUGGUGGCUUGGUGGAAGGUGGUGGACUGACGUUGGUGGUG